UGAAAAAAAAAGACUAUAAAUGUGAGAGUACAUUGAGGCAACUAGAAACUCAGAGCUAAAUUAAAAAAUUACUUAAAAAGACACAAGAGAGAAAUGGCAUCAAUGAAAGCUGAGAAACCAGUUGGUACUCAACCAUCUGCCCCUGCAGCCAAAAAUCCAUCUACUAAGGCUCUUCCUGCUUCCAAGUCCUCCAAGAAAAAGCCUCGUGAGACUAAGAAAAAGGCAUCAAGUAGCAAGGCAGCUGGAAAGAAUAACUAAGAAGAAGUUGGAGUAAUUAGAGUAUGAUGAAUUGGAGAAUAUGGCUGCUGUUGUAUAAAAUUAUAAGUGAUGUAAUAGCUAUCUUGUAUUUUCUUCUCUUUGGUUUCAUCGUAAUGAAAUAAUCUCAUACUCUUUUAUCUGUAAAA